UACGUAGGGUGCAAGCGUUGUCCGGAAUUAUUGGGCGUAAAGAGCUCGUAGGCGGUUCGCUAAGUCGGGUGUGAAACCUCCAGGCUCAACCUGGAGACGCCACCUGAUACUGGUGUGACUCGAGUCCGGUAGGGGAGCGUGGAAUUCCUGGUGUAGCGGUGAAAUGCGCAGAUAUCAGGAGGAACACCAGCGGCGAAGGCGGCGCUCUGGGCCGGAACUGACGCUGAGGAGCGAAAGCGUGGGUAGCAAACAGG
rnacentral:rRNA from 1 species